AGUGCAUGUGGUGGAUGCCUUGGCGACAACAGGCGAAGAAGGACGUGUAAGCCUGCGAAAAGCUCGGGGGAGCUGGCAAAAGAGCAUUGAUCCCGAGAUAUCCGAAUGGGGAAACCCGGCCCUUUGGGUCAUCCCAUCCUGAAUACAUAGGGAUGAGGAAGCGAACCUGGUGAACUGAAACAUCUAAGUAGCCAGAGGAAAAGAAAUCAACCGAGAUUCCCAAAGUAGUGGCGAGCGAAAUGGGACGAGCCUGCACACCUAAACCAACUUCUUAGCAGAACGGUCUGGAAAGUCCGGCGACAGUGGGUGAUAGCCCCGUAUGCGAAAAGAAGUUGGCGGGUCUAAGUGUGCGACAAGUAGGGCGGGGCACGUGGAAUCCUGUCUGAACAUGGGGGGACCAUCCUCCAAGGCUAAAUACUCGUUGUCGACCGAUAGUGAACCAGUACCGUGAGGGAAAGGCGAAAAGAACCCCGGGAGGGGAGUGAAAUAGAUCCUGAAACCGCAUGCAUACAAACAGUGGGAGCGGACUUGUUCCGUGACUGCGUACCUUUUGUAUAAUGGGUCAGCGACUUACGUUCCGUUGCGAGCUUAACCGAAUAGGGGAGGCGAAGCGAAAGCGAGUCUGAACAAGGCGUUCAGUAGCGGGGCGUAGACCCGAAACCGGAUGAUCUAUCCAUGGCCAGGUUGAAGGUGCGGUAACACGCACUGGAGGACCGAACCCACUAGUGUUGCAAAACUAGGGGAUGAGCUGUGGAUAGGGGUGAAAGGCUAAACAAAUCCGGAGAUAGCUGGUUCUCCUCGAAAACUAUUUAGGUAGUGCCUCGUGUAUCACUCUCGGGGGUAGAGCACUGUAAUCGUUGGAGGGGUCGUCUAGACCUACUUCGCGAUAGCAAACUCCGAAUACCGAGAAGUGCGAGCACGGGAGACAGUCCUGGGGUGCUAACGUUCUGGGACGAGAGGGAAACAACCCAGACCCACAGCUAAGGUCCCAAAUAUAGGCUAAGUGGUAAACGAAGUGGGAAGGCAUAGACAGCCAGGAAGUUGGCUUAGAAGCAGCCAUCCUUCAAAGAAAGCGUAAUAGCUCACUGGUCGAGUCGUCCUGCGCGGAAGAUGUAACGGGGCUAAGCCUAUAACCGAAGCUUGGGAUGCCUACGAUGUAGGCGUGGUAGAGGAGCGUUCCGUAGGCCUGAGAAGGUGUCUCGAGAGGGAUGCUGGAGGUAUCGGAAGUGCGAAUGCUGACAUGAGUAGCGAUAAAACGGGUGAAAAGCCCGUUCGCCGGAAGCCCAAGGUUUCCUGCGCAACGUUCAUCGGCGCAGGGUGAGUCGGCCCCUAAGGCGAGGCAGAGAUGCGUAGCUGAUGGGAAACAGGUGAAUAUUCCUGUACCUUCGUUAAUUGCGAUGGGGGGACGGAGAAAGGUAGGCCAGCCAGGUGUUGGAUGUCCUGGUUUAAGCGUGUAGGCGUGCUCUUUAGGCAAAUCCGGAGAGCUUAGCUGAGGCGUGAUGACGAGGUCCUUUGGGACUGAAGUGGUUGAUCCUACGCUUCCAAGAAAAGCCUCUAAGCUUCAGAUUAACGAAGACCGUACCGCAAACCGACACAGGUGGGCAGGGUGAGAAUCCUAAGGCGCUUGAGAGAACUCUGGAGAAGGAACUCGGCAAAUUAACACCGUAACUUCGGGAGAAGGUGUGCCCUGGUAACGUGUAGACCCUUGCGGUCGAAGCGUGAAGGGGUUGCAGUGAAAAGGUGGCUGCGACUGUUUAACAAAAACACAGCACUCUGCAAACACGAAAGUGGACGUAUAGGGUGUGACGCCUGCCCGGUGCUGGAAGGUUAAGUGAUGGGGUGCAAGCUCUUGAUCGAAGCCCCAGUAAACGGCGGCCGUAACUAUAACGGUCCUAAGGUAGCGAAAUUCCUUGUCGGGUAAGUUCCGACCCGCACGAAUGGCGUAACGAUGGCCACACUGUCUCCUCCAGAGACUCAGCGAAAUUGAAGUGUUUGUGAAGAUGCAAUCUACCCGCGGCUAGACGGAAAGACCCCAUGAACCUUUACUGUAGCUUUGCAUUGGACUUUGACGGGACUUGUGUAGGAUAGGUGGGAGGCUGUGAAGCAGUCACGCUAGUGAUUGUGGAGCCAACCUUGAAAUACCACCCUGGUGUCGUUGAGGUUCUAACCUUGGUCCAUGAUCUGGAUCGGGGACCGUGCAUGGUAGGCAGUUUGACUGGGGCGGUCUCCUCCCAAAGCGUAACGGAGGAGCACGAAGGUUCGCUAGACACGGUCGGACAUCGUGUUGAUAGUGCAAGGGCAUAAGCGAGCUUAACUGCGAGACUGACAAGUCGAGCAGAUGCGAAAGCAGGUCCUAGUGAUCCGGUGGUUCUGAAUGGAAGGGCCAUCGCUCAACGGAUAAAAGGUACUCUGGGGAUAACAGGCUGAUUCCGCCCAAGAGUUCACAUCGACGGCGGAGUUUGGCACCUCGAUGUCGGCUCAUCUCAUCCUGGGGCUGUAGCCGGUCCCAAGGGUAUGGCUGUUCGCCAUUUAAAGAGGUACGUGAGCUGGGUUCAAAACGUCGUGAGACAGUUUGGUCCCUAUCUGCCGUGGGCGUUGGAGAUUUGACGGGGGCUGCUCCUAGUACGAGAGGACCGGAGUGGACGCAUCUCUGGUGUACCGGUUAUCACGCCAGUGGUAUUGCCGGGUAGCUAAAUGCGGAAGAGAUAAACGCUGAAAGCAUCUAAGCGUGAAACUCGCCUGAAGAUGAGAUCUCCCGGGGGUUUAACCCCCUUGAAGGGUCGUUGAAGACUACAACGUUGAUAGGUUGGGUGUGGAAGCGCGGUAACGCGUUAAGCUAACCAAUACUAAUUGCCCGUACGGCUUGACC
rnacentral:rRNA from 1 species